UGCAAGUCGAACGAGAAUUUAUUUCUAGUGGCGAACGGGUGAGUAACGUAUUUCUAACGUGCCCCGGAGAGAGGAAUAACUAUUGGAAACGAUAACUAAUACCUCAUGGAUAUUGGAGGGCAUCCUCUAAUGUUUAAAGGUGCGUUUGCACCACUCCGGGAUCGGGAAAUAUCACAUUAGCUAGUUGGUGGGGUAAUGGCCCACCAAGGCAAUGAUGUGUAGCCGAGCUGAGAGGUUGAUCGGCCACAAUGGGACUGAGACACGGCCCAUACUCCUACGGGAGGCAGCAGUAGGGAAUUUUCCCAUGGACGAAAGUCUGAUGGAGC
rnacentral:rRNA from 1 species